rnacentral:rRNA from 1 species
CAAUAGCGUAUAUUAAAGUUGUUGCAGUUAAAAAGCUCGUAGUUGGAUUUCGGGACGGGCCAGUUGGUCCGCCGCAAGGUGUGUUACUGACUGGUCUGUUCUUCUUCGCAAAGACUGCGUGUGCUCUUCGUUGAGUGUGCGUAGGAUUUACGACGUUUACUUUGAAAAAAUUAGAGUGUUCAAAGCAGGCUAUCGCUUGAAUACAUGAGCAUGGAAUAAUGGAAUAGGACUUUGGCCCUAUUUUGUUGGUUUCUAGGACCGAAGUAAUGAUUAAGAGGGACAAUUGGGGGCAUCCGUAUUUCGUUGUCAGAGGUGAAAUUCUUGGAUUUACGAAAGACGAACAACUGCGAAAGCACUUGCCAAGAGUGCUUUCAUUAA